GAAUUUUGGACAAUGGGGGCAACCCUGAUCCAGCCGUGCCGCGUGAGUGAAGAAGGCCUUCGGGUUGUAAAGCUCUUUCGGCGGGGACGAAACGGUUCGUGCUAACACCGCGAACUAAUGACGGUACUCGCAUAAGAAGCACCGGCUAACUACGUGCCAGCAGCCGCGGUAAUACGUAGGGUGCAGGCGUUAAUCGGAAUUACUGGGCGUAAAGCGUGCGCAGGCGGCUCCUUAAGUCAGAUGUGAAAUCCCCGAGCUUAACCUGGGAACUGCGUUUGAAACUGAGGGGCUUGAGUGUGGAAGAGGGGGGUGGAAUUCCAGGUGUAGCAGUGAAAUGCGUAGAGAUCUGGAGGAACACCGAUGGCGAAGGCAGCCCCCUGGGCUAACACUGACGCUCAUGCACGAAAGCGUGGGGAGCAAACAGG
rnacentral:rRNA from 1 species